UUCAUAACAUUGCUCUAAGAAUUCAAUGAGAUAAAUCGGAACAAGAAGGGCAGGUUAUUAUAUCACAGGUAGGUUUCAGAUGGCUUUGCCUGUCAUUUUAAUUUUUCCUUCUCUCCAUUUGGAACAAUGUGAUUGGUAAAUGAAUAGGAUUACUUUCACUACUUACACGUGUUGGGGAGAGGGACCGUUAACAAACAUUUAUUGAGACUCUAAUACAUGCAAAGUUUGUAGAGGCAUGAGAAAGCGUAUAAAACGUACUCUCAACCACUUAACGAAUGCAAAUAACUACCUCCACUGUCAUCCUAUAAUUGAUAUGAAAGCUAGUUUGGAACUUUUGUACGCAGAAUGAUGGCCCCCAAGGAUAUCCAUGCCCUAAUCCCCAGAACCUGUGAAAACGUAAGGCGAUAUGGAAAAGGAGAAUUAAGGUUGCAGAUGGAAUUAAGGUUACUAACCAGCUGACAUUGAGAUGGGGAGAUUAUCCUGGAGUAUGUGAGUGGGCCCAGUGUAAUCAGAAGGGUCCUUGUAAGUGGAAGAGAGAAGGAGAAGAGGGAGAUCCAAGGAGAUGGCAGCAUAAGAAAGAGCCCAAUUCUGCUGGCUUUGGAGGUGGAAGAAUGGAGCCAGGGAACUGGGCAGCCUUGAGAAGCUAGAAAAAGGCAAGACAACGAAUUCCCUCCAGAGCCUCCAGGAGGGAUGGAGCUCUGCUGACACCUUGAUUUUAGCCCCGUGAAACCCAUUUUGGAUGUCUGAUCUAUAGAAUUUAAGACAAUAAAUUGGUGGUGUUUCAAGCCACUACAUUUUGGAUAAUUUGUUACAGAGGCCAUAGGAAACUAACAUAAGAAUUCAGUUGUUUUGUCUUUUUAUUUGGAAAGCCAGUCCUCUAUCUUGUACUUCUUUGCAAAUAAACCUCCUUUCUUUUCUAAAUGUUUUUGUCUCUGAGUCUUCCAGGACAGACAUCACAAAGAAUUCCCUACCAAUUAAUUAGUAGCCAGAAUAUGAGAUAUAUAUUCCAGAAAAACAGAACUUGGUUCCUUGUCAUGGCCUCACAGCAAUCCGGACCGUACAAGGCAGAGUGGGGGGCACUUUUAAAGCAAGUGAUACCAACUGUGAGUUUUCUUCAACAGACUCAAAGUGUGAAAAAAGGCCCUUUGUAGGCUACUGAUGUUCUUGCUUAGAAUGGGUGUUUAAUAACUCCUUCUCCUCCAAUGUUAAACUUCAGGGAACUAGUAUUCACUACUAAGGGAAUGACUUCUCUGAAAGCCAAGGCCACAUCUAGUUUCAUGUUUGAAUUCCUGUCACAGAGCACAGAGGAAAAGAAGGUGCUCAAAAGUGUGUUGAAUGCGCAAACGAACGAGUAUGGAAGAGGAGUUGGCAGGGGCCUCGCACGUUCCUUCCCCUCUCCUAGUGAUUCUUCCUUGUGUAGGAGGCUCUGUUAACAGGGCUCUCCCUUAGUAGGCCACUCCAGCCUCUCCCCACCGCUCCCUGACUGGACCCUGGGAAUUAUGGAGUGACCCAUCUGAGUACUGCUUUUGGAAGAAGAGCUUGAGUAGGGGCAGCCCAGCCCUUUCUUCUCCUCUCUCUCUUCAAAGUGAGCUGCCCACAGGGUGUAUGCAUUUUCUUGGUGCCAGCACCUGUGGGACAGGAGGAACAGAUGUGAAGUUCAGCCUUUCCCUAAGACCAUAGCUAUAUUCUCCUAUAUCAGUUAUAGCAUUAAUAACAGCAAUAUUUUGGUUCCCAUCAAUUCUUUUAUAUCUUAAAAUUCAAUUGGUCCAAACUCCAAUAUUAUGGAAGAAGAUUUUCAUAAUUUUAGCGGGACAGAAUAGACUGAAGUAAAGAGGCCUGAGUCCUGAAUGGUCUUCCACUUACCAGCUGUGCAAAUUGAGGGUUUUACUUCACUUCUCUGAGACUCAGUAUGUUCACUGUUGAAAGCAUUGAUCUAGAUGACUUCCAAGAUCCCUUCCAUGAUUCUGAGCAUCUGAGAUUUGCAGGGGCAUCUGCCUCUGGGGAGCACCCCCUAGCUCACCUCGUCUGGGCCAGAUGCCUCUUCUUUGUGCAACUGGAAGCCUGCUCUGUCCUCCCUGACAGCACUUGCCACACUGUUCAUAUUGUCUGAAUCCUCAGCCAGUCAGUUGGCAACAUGGGAGUGGGACCAUGCUGUUUGAUUCCCUGCUGUAUUCCCGGCACCUGGUACAUCUCAUAGCAGGUGCUUAAUUGGCUGAAUUCACAAUUGUGAUACAAUUCAGGGGCCAGAGGCCCCUGAGGCACAGUUAGCCACCCUUUCCCUGUGCAGUGGGAAAAGAAAAGCAUCACAGUGGCCGAUCUAGCCAUGACUCUCACACCACGUACCCCAAGGAAUCUGGAAAGUAGAUCCCAAGAAAGGCCUGGAUUUUGAACCUGUUUCUGAAGGGGAAAAUAUCUUCCUAUAUUGUUUUUCAGAUUAAUUUGCCAGUGUUAGGGAAACAGUAAGCCAUCUUUCGGGGAGAGAUGACCAUUUCUCCCAUUGGUUCAUUCAUAUUUAUAGGCAUCUGGUUUGGGGCUAUUGCUGUGUCUGUUCGCAGAUUCUCAGAUUCUCAGUGAGGCUUUUAGCCAUUUGGAAAGCACAAUAAACUCCUCUCCAUUUCCAUCUGCACAAGCCCAUGCUGUAGUUAUUCCCCUCUACAAGCCCUACCUGCCAUCACGACAUUUCCCUACCCUGGGAUUGGAGGAAAUGAGCAAAUCAACCCUGAGCACGCUUCAGGUGGCUCUGUGACCUUGCAUUCUUCCCAGUGACCUUUCUCAUGUUACUCUCUGCAUGGGCAACUCCAGCCAUUAUAUUAGCAACACACAAUUACACCUUCAAGGUACAUUCAAGUUCAGGCACUGCCAGGACAUAAAUACCUUAAUGAGGUGACAGCCAUGCAAAACCUCUGAGUGACGUAAAUCAGAGCUCAGAUUGCAAAGACACAUUGGCAGGUUCACGCCCAAGCACAGAGAAAGAAGAAAGCAGAAAGGGAGGAAGGGAGGCAGGGAGGCAGAGGAAGGAAGUGGGGAGAUGAGAAGGAAGGAGGGAGAUGAGAGGGAGGAAGGAAGAAGGGAGAAUUCUAUGGUAAUGCUAGUGGUAGCACGCAGCACAAUGUUUUUGAAGUGAUUUCUAAUGCUUUCAUCAAACACUUGCAUCCUCAUCCCGACUUCCUUGAUUUCUCUGCUGGCUAAAUCCCUGCUGGCACACCCAGGAUUCAGUACUCACAUUCAGCAAGCACUCAUCAGUUGACAGAACACAACUUGGCUCUAGGUUGUCCUUGCCUCUAUCAUACCCUCCAAAUGCACCUCGGCCCAUGGGGUGAGGUCUCUACUGCACAGACUCCUAACUCUGUUGGUGUCCUAAAGGAAUGUCAAUCUCAGGCCUAGAGGCAGAGUGGAUGGUGGGGGAGGGCAUAUCCAGCCUCCAACAGCAGCCAGGAAAGGGGACUCCGGUGCUACUGCUCUGGCCGAUAGGUGACAGAAGGACUUUCUCAUCCCUGAACCUGCUCACUCUAAUGCAAACAGUCUUUGGUUCAGUUCUAUACUAACCGCAGAACUGAAGCACUCAAGGGCCCUGUUCCAUCAUGUAGGGCCACGACUAAUGCUAGAUACUGAGAAAAAUGGUGAGAGAUAGAAUCCAGAGUCAGAGGUCAACAUAAAAGGUAAUGACAAGUAGCUGACCUGUGGAGAUGCAAUCAGCCUGGCUUCGCCUCCUUGGACUGCUGUUUCCUCUAAGGGUUGCAUGGCUGCUCUGCGGGCAUGUAUGCACCUGUCUUAAAGGCAUAGCUGUCUGAGUGAUGCCCAACAUCCCCAGGCCUGGUUAUUCCACUCCCAACAGCCCCACCACCUCGCAAGGGCUUCAUGUGGUUGUUCCCACAAUGGUGGCAGUAGAAUGAGCAGUAGCUUUUAUCCACCUUACUCCAGGAAUAGGAGGGGCCCAGUGCAGUGCUGCCUAACAGAAAUACAAUGUGAGCCACAUAUGUAACUUUAAGUUUUCUAGCAUCUAUGUUAAAAAGUGUAAAAACAAACAGAUAAAAUUAAUUUUAAUAUUAAAC
rnacentral:lncRNA from 1 species